rnacentral:rRNA from 1 species
UCCUCCCUCUUUCUUCGUGCUUAACACAUGCAAGUCGAACGGAAAGGCCCUGCUUUUGUGGGGUGCUCGAGUGGCGAACGGGUGAGUAACACGUGAGUAACCUGCCCUUGACUUUGGGAUAACUUCAGGAAACUGGGGCUAAUACCGGAUAGGAGCUCCUGCUGCAUGGUGGGGGUUGGAAAGUUUCGGCGGUUGGGGAUGGACUCGCGGCUUAUCAGCUUGUUGGUGGGGUAGUGGCUUACCAAGGCUUUGACGGGUAGCCGGCCUGAGAGGGUGACCGGCCACAUUGGGACUGAGAUACGGCCCAGACUCCUACGGGAGGCAGCAGUGGGGAAUAUUGCACAAUGGGCGGAAGCCUGAUGCAGCAACGCCGCGUGCGGGAUGACGGCCUUCGGGUUGUAAACCGCUUUCGCCCGUGACGAAGCGUGAGUGACGGUAAUGGGUAAAGAAGCACCGGCUAACUACGUG